AGGGCGCCUACCGCAGUGCCUGACGGGCCGCGCCGCAGGUCCACCGCGCAUGCCUGAAGAGGAAGCCCAGGCCCUUCGGGAAGUUGAGAGAGGUGCAGUAAUUUGGCCAAAGUCACGCGGCUAAUAACUACCCAGGACUGGAGCUCAGCGUGGAUGCCAUCGCUUCCUCCACCCGACCGAGCUGCCUUCCCCGCGCUUUCGGGGGAUGCUGGCCGCCCACUCCCACACAGCUGUCUGGCAAGAACCUCCUGACAGCCUGGAAUACCCUCGUCGUCGCUACCGACGGCUACCACCUUCACCUGUACAAGCCCUUCCCUGUCAAAGUAAAGGUUGCAGAAAACCUUCCCUGAUUCCAUGGUAGGCACUCAGUAAAUAAACAGGCAACCUCAA